rnacentral:rRNA from 1 species
UGGGUAUCUACCUCGGGGUGGGGAAUAACCGCUGGAAACGGCGCUAAUACCGCAUACGCCUUCAGAGGGAAAGCUCCGGCGCCCUGAGAGGAGCCCGCGUUGGAUUAGCUUGUUGGUGGGGUAACGGCCUACCAAGGCUACGAUCUAUAGCUGGUCUGAGAGGAUGAUCAGCCACACUGGGACUGAGACACGGCCCAGACUCCUACGGGAGGCAGCAGUGGGGAAUAUUGGACAAUGGGCGCAAGUGAUCCAGCCAUGCCGCGUGAGUGAAGAAGGCCUUAGGGUUGUAAAGCUCUUUCACCUGCGAAGAUGAUGACGGUAGCAGGAGAAGAAGCCCCGGCUAACUCCGUGCCAGCAGCCGCGGUAAUACGGAGGGGGCUAGCGUUGUUCGGAUUUACUGGGCGUAAAGGGCGCGUAGGGGUAUGCCAAGUCAGGGGUGAAAGGCCUGGGCUCAACCCAGGAACUGCCUUUGAAACUGGCAAACUAGAGUCCGAUAGAGGAUGGCGGAAUUCCCAGUGUAGAGGUGAAAUUCGUAGAUAUUGGGAAGAACACCAGUGGCGAAGGGGCCAUCUGGAUCGGCACUGACGCUGAGGCGCGAAAGUGGGGAGCAAACAGGAUUAGAUACCCUGGUAGUCCACGCCGUAAACGAUGUGUGCUAGACGUUGGGGGUCUUAGACCCUGGGUGUCGUAGCUAACGCGUUAAGCACACCGCCUGGGGAGUACGGCCGCAAGUUAAAACUCAAAGGAAUUGACGGGGGCCCGCGCGACUGGAGCAUGUGGUUUAAUUCGAAGCAACGCGCAGAACCUUACCAGCCCUUGACAUCCCGGUCGCGCGGACCAGAG